AUUGAACGCUGGCGGCAGGCCUAACACAUGCAAGUCGAGCGGAUGAAGGGAGCUUGCUCCUGGAUUCAGCGGCGGACGGGUGAGUAAUGCCUAGGAAUCUGCCUGGUAGUGGGGGAUAACGUCCGGAAACGGGCGCUAAUACCGCAUACGUCCUGAGGGAGAAAGUGGGGGAUCUUCGGACCUCACGCUAUCAGAUGAGCCUAGGUCGGAUUGGCUAGUUGGUGGGGUAAAGGCCUACCAAGGCGACGAUCCGUAACUGGUCUGAGAGGAUGAUCAGUCACACUGGAACUGAGACACGGUCCAGACUCCUACGGGAGGCAGCAGUGGGGAAUAUUGGACAAUGGGCGAAAGCCUGAUCCAGCCAUGCCGCGUGUGUGAAGAAGGUCUUCGGAUUGUAAAGCACUUUAAGUUGGGAGGAAGGGCAGUAAGUUAAUACCUUGCUGUUUUGACGUCACCAACAGAAUAAGCACCGGCUAACUUCGUG
rnacentral:rRNA from 1 species